CUUUCUUUCUUUUUGAUGGCACUGGAGCAGAGAGAAACUAAAGCAGGAAAAUGGGAAGUGAUUAUCUUUGUGUUUUUUAAGAUGAAGCUCCACUGAAGCUGCUAGAUGGGCAGUUACCCAAGCAGCAAACAGGAGAGUGAGGGGUGGGAAAUUUACUUACAUGGGAAGUAGGGUGCUUGGGAUUUUAGGGCUGACACUGAGGAGCUACUAGGGCUUUUCUUUCCUUAUAUUUAUUUAUUUAUUUUUUUUGAGAUGGAGUCUCACUCUGUCGCCAGGCUGGAGUGCAGUGGCGCGAUCUUGGCUCACUGCAAUCUCCGUCUCCCAGGUUCAAGCGAUUCUCCUCUCUCAGCCUCCCAAGUAGCUGGAAUUACAGACACGCACCACCGAGCCCAGCUAAUUUUUGUAUUUUUAGUAGAGACAGGGUUUCACCAUGUUGGCCAGGAUGGUCUCCAUCUUUUGACCUUGUGAUCUGCCGGCCUCAGCCUCCCAAUGUGCUAGGAUUACAGGUGUGAGCCACCGCACCCGGCCAACUACGGCUUUUCUAAAUUGUGCAAGGAGAGGUUAAACUUAGGAGGAGAUGCAAAUCAGAUUUUAGGAGAAUUCAGAUUCAUAGCAAAGAGCAGUGGCAGUAAAGAUUCAAAUGCCCAGGACAACGUGGAGCUUUUCAGGGAGCAUCUUUCCAUUCAUUCAGGGAGUAUUUAUUGAGUACCUAGUAUGUGUUUAGCACUUUGAUAAGACUUGAAAAUGUCAGUUCAACAAAAAUACACUUGGACUGAACUCAACUCCUUUUAAGAAAAAUUGACAUGCUUCUCACCAAGCAGAAGGCCUCAGUUGCAGACAGGGACCAAAACGUUCCUGAUGGUUUCUCUCCAACUGGCUCUGUCUCCUCAGUUUGCAUCUCUGGUAGGCGCAGGUGUGAUGCUGCUCCUGAUGGUGAAGAUGGGACACUUUUUCUACACACUGCCAAAUGCUGUGCUGGCUGGUAUUAUUCUGAGCAACGUCAUUCCCUACCUUGAAACCAUUUCUAACCUACCCAGCCUGUGGAGGCAGGACCAAUAUGACUGUGCUCUUUGGAUGAUGACAUUCUCAUCUUCAAUUUUCCUGGGACUGGACAUUGGACUAAUUAUCUCGGUAGUUUCUGCUUUCUUCAUCACCACUGUUCGUUCACACAGGUACUUUGUCUCAGGUAAUAGGAGGUUAACAAGGCAAGGUAAGCCAACUCUGACCUAAAGGCAAGUGCAUUUCCUUUCAGAGCUAAGAUUCUUCUCCUGGGUCAAAUCCCUAACACCAACAUUUAUAGAAGCAUCAAUGAUUAUCGGGAGAUCAUCACCAUUCCUGGGGUGAAAAUCUUCCAGUGCUGCAGCUCAAUUACAUUUGUAAAUGUUUACUACCUAAAGCAUAAGCUGUUAAAAGAGGUUGAUAUGGUAAAGGUGCCUCUUAAAGAAGAAGAAAUUUUCAGCUUGUUUAAUUCAAGUGACACCAGUCUACAAGGAGGAAAGAUUUGCAGGUGUUUCUGCAACUGUGAUGAUCUGGAGCCGCUGCCCAGGAUUCUUUACACAGAGCGAUUUGAAAAUAAACUGGAUCCCGAAGCAUCCUCCGUUAACCUGAUUCACUGCUCACAUUUUGAGAGCAUGAACGCAAGCCAAACUGCAUCCGAAGACCAAGUGCCAUACACAGUAUCGUCCGUGUCUCAGAAAAAUCAAGGGCAACAGGAGGAGGUGGAGGAAGUUUGGCUUCCUAAUAACUCAUCGAGAAACAGCUCACCAGGACUGCCUGAUGUGGCGGAAAGCCAGGGGAGGAGAUCACUCAUCCCUUACUCAGAUGCGUCUCUACUGCCCAGUGUCCACACCAUCAUCCUGGAUUUCUCCAUGGUACACUACGUGGAUUCACGGGGGUUAGUCGUAUUAAGACAGAUAUGCAAUGCCUUUCAAAACGCCAACAUUUUGAUACUCAUUGCAGGGUGUCACUCUUCCAUAGUCAGGGCAUUUGAGAGGAAUGAUUUCUUUGACGCUGGCAUCACCAAGACCCAGCUGUUCCUCAGCGUUCACGACGCCGUGCUGUUUGCCUUGUCAAGGAAGGUCAUAGGCUCCUCUGAGUUAAACAUCGAUGAAUCUGAGACAGUGAUACGGGAAACCUACUCAGAAACAGACAAGAAUGACAAUUCAAGAUAUAAAAUGAGCAGCAGUUUUCUAGGAAGCCAAAAAAAUGUAAGUCCAGGCUUCAUCAAGAUCCAACAGCCUGUAGAAGAGGAGUUGGAGUUGGAUUUGGAGUUGGAAUCAGAACAAGAGGCUGGGCUGGGUCUGGACCUAGACCUGGAUCGGGAGCUGGAGCCUGAAAUGGAGCCCAAGGCUGAGACCGAGACCAAGACCCAGACCGAGAUGGAGCCCCAGCCUGAGACUGAGCCUGAGAUGGAGCCCAACCCUAAAUCUAGGCCAAGAGCUCACACUUUUCUUCAGCAGCGUUACUGGCCUAUGUAUCAUCCGUCUAUGGCUUCCACCCAGUCUCAGACUCAGACUCGGACGUGGUCAGUGGAGAGGAGACGCCAUCCUAUGGAUUCAUACUCACCGGAGGGCAACAGCAAUGAAGAUGUCUAGGAGAUGAACUAGAAAUAAGGGGUCAGAUAAUGCUGGCAAAUCCUCCUACCCAAAAAGGGGUCAAUUGUCCAGAGACCUAGACUGGAUACGAACUAGCAGUACUUCCUUCCUGACUGUGACUCCUACUACCUGCCAGCCUUCUUCCUUGCUCUGCGCUGGGAUCAUACUCCCAAAUCACAUUACUAAAUGCCAACAAUUAUCUCUGAAUUCCCUAUCCAGGCUCCCCUCAUUUCACCUUCAGCAUAUAUUCUAGUCAUGAAUUUCCUUCUUCACACACCCCGCAUAUCUGGGCUUUGUGCCAGACCAUCUCUAACUUAAUCCUCUCAUCCCUGUUCCCCUUUCUCCAAAGAGAUGAAGCUCAAAUAAAAUGUAUAACUCUAGU
rnacentral:sRNA from 1 species